GCCCCCGUAGCCCAAUCGGCAGAGGCAGGCGACUUAAACUCGCCAAAGUGUCGGUUCGAAUCCGACCGGGGGUA
rnacentral:tRNA from 1 species